UGGGGAAUAUUGCACAAUGGGCGCAAGCCUGAUGCAGCCAUGCCGCGUGUGUGAAGAAGGCCUUCGGGUUGUAAAGCACUUUCAGCGAGGAGGAAGGGUAGUGUGUUAAUAGCACAUUGCAUUGACGUUACUCGCAGAAGAAGCACCGGCUAACUCCGUGCCAGCAGCCGCGGUAAUACGGAGGGUGCAAGCGUUAAUCGGAAUUACUGGGCGUAAAGCGCACGCAGGCGGUUUGUUAAGUCAGAUGUGAAAUCCCCGCGCUUAACGUGGGAACUGCAUUUGAAACUGGCAAGCUAGAGUCUUGUAGAGGGGGGUAGAAUUCCAGGUGUAGCGGUGAAAUGCGUAGAGAUCUGGAGGAAUACCGGUGGCGAAGGCGGCCCCCUGGACAAAGACUGACGCUCAGGUGCGAAAGCGUGGGGAGC
rnacentral:rRNA from 1 species